AGAGUUUGAUCCUGGCUCAGGAUGAACGCUAGCGGCAGGCUUAAUACAUGCAAGACGAACGGUAACUGGAGUAGCAAUACUUCGGCUAGAGUGUCGUACGGGUGCGUAACACGUAUGCAACCUACCUUGNUACAGGGGUAUAGCUCGGGGAAACUCGAAUUAACCCCCCAUAAUAUCAUGGUGUGGCAUCACAUUAUGAUUAAAACUUCGGUGGUACAAGAUGGGCAUGCGUUUGAUUAGUUAGUUGGCAGUGUAAUGGACUACCAAGACGAUGAUCAAUAGGGGACCUGAGAGGGUGAUCCCCCACACUGGCACUGAGAUACGGGCCAGACUCCUACGGGAGGCAGCAGUAGGGAAUAUUGGACAAUGGGUGAGAGCCUGAUCCAGCCAUGCCGCGUGCAGGAAGAAGGCGUUAUGCGUUGUAAACUGCUUUUGCCAGGGGAUAAAAUGAGCGUGCGCGCUUAAUUGAAGGUACCUGGUGAAUAAGCCACGGCUAACUACGUGCCAGCAGCCGCGGUAAUACGUAGGUGGCAAGCGUUGUCCGGAUUUAUUGGGUUUAAAGGGUGCGUAGGUGGCCCUGNUAAGUCAGUGGUGAAAUAUCUCAGCUUAACUGAGAGGGUGCCAUUGAUACUGCAGGGCUUGAGUACAGAUGAGGUAGGCGGAAUUGACGGUGUAGCGGUGAAAUGCAUAGAUAUCGUCAAGAACACCGAUAGCGAAGGCAGCUUACCA
rnacentral:rRNA from 1 species